AAUAUACCGACAGCAGAGUGCAAACAAACGUAAAUUAACACCACCACCCUGAGCCAAAAAUUUAGCCAACCACCCCAAUCAAUUCAAAGAUAAACUAAAACAUUUAACAAAUUUAGUAGCGGCGAUUGAAAAAUUUACUAGAGCUACAAAUAUGUACCGCAAGGGAAAAAUGAAAUAAUAAUGAAAAACCUUAAGCACAAAAAAGUAGAGCCUCAACCUCGUACCUUUUGCAUCAUGAUUUAACUAGUCAUUAAUAGGCAAAAAGACUUUCAGUCUAUCCCCCCGAAACCAAGUGAGCUACUUAGGGGCAGCUUAAUGAGCCCAUCCGUCUCUGUUGCAAAAGAAUGGAGAGACCCCACAGUAGCGGUGAUAUACCUAACGAACCUGGUGAUAGCUGGUUGCCCAGAAAAAGAACAUUAGUUCCGCCCAAAGUUUUCACAACCAAUGAAGUAACCACAAGACUUUGGAGUAACUCAAAUAGGGUACAGCCUAUUUGAAACAGGAUACAACCUAGAUUAACGGGUAAUUACGAACAUACAAAUAACCCAGUAGGCCUAAAAGCAGCCACCAUAAAAAGCGUCAAAGCUUACUAACCAUAACAAAAAUCCCACAAACAAUGCCGAACCCUUUCCCACUACUGAGCACUUCUAUACAAUAUUGAACCUUUAAUGUUAAAACUAGUAACAAGAAACAAAUUUUCUCCUAAUGUAAACUUAAGCCAGACAGAACCCCACACUGACACUUAACGACUUUAAAGCCACAGUAACAACCCCCAAGAAAAAUUUACUUCUUUUUUUCCCGUCAAACUAACACAAGAACAUUAACAGAAAGAUUAAAAGAAGAAGAAGGAACUCGGCAAAUACAGAUCUCGCCUGUUUACCAAAAACAUCGCCUCUUGUAAUCAAUAAGAGGUCCAGCCUGCCCAGUGAUUUAUUCAACGGCCGCGGUAUCCUAACCGUGCAAAGGUAGCACAAUCACUUGUUUUCUAAAUAAAGACUAGUAUGAACGGCAUCACGAAAAUCUAACUGUCUCCUCCUUCUAAUCAGUGAAACUGAUCUCCCCGUGAAGAAGCGGGGAUACCCACAUAAGACGAGAAGACCCUAUGGAACUUUAAAUAAAUAGCACACAACCCCUCUUCCCAAGUUUCUAAACUUUAUUCCCCUCUUACCCACUGUCUAUUAACUUUUAGGUUGGGGCGACCUUGGAGAACAACCCACCCUCCAAAUUGAGAAACAAAAACUUACAAUUUUAUGUAUCAACACAUUGACACCUAUUGACCCAGUAACCUGAUCAAUGAACCAAGCUACCCUAGGGAUAACAGCGCAAUCUUCUCCGAGAGCCCGUAUCAACGAGCAGGUUUACGACCUCGAUGUUGGAUCAGGGUAACCCAGUGGUGCAGCAGCUA
rnacentral:rRNA from 1 species